UCCCUUCCUCCCCCUCCCCCCCCCCCCGCCCCGACAAGCCUUUGGCAUCAUUAUCCUCAUCACUAAAUCCUACAGAGUACAGGGCGGAAAACGGUGCACAC
ensembl:misc_RNA